CUUGCCUGAAAUUCUUUACCUGCACGCUUCAUCUGACUCGUGCAGCAUUAAGAAGAUGUCACCUUCUCCCUCAAGACCAUUGGCCAUUGGCUUUAAGGUGAAAGAGUUUUGAGUUGGCAUCUCCUGUCUUGAGCCAUUAAAUUCUUGAACGCUGUCUAAUUCUUGAUCUUGCAAUGGCAGCCAGUGCAAGGAUCUUAAACCUCAGGAACUGUUUGAGAGGAAUGUUAGCCAACAUGAGAUCGCCGAGAUCUUGAGCAUGGUGCCAUGGUCCAGGCCCAGAAUAACCUGCUGAAGCCACUUUGGAGAGCAGCAAGUUGUAACCUGGUUUUCAUAUACGACUCCAAGAGCGCAAAACCUUUGCCACCCUAGAAAGCUUGAUAUGCAGUAUGCAGACAUCAUCUCCAGGGGCCAGAGGCUUAGCCCAAGCAGCAGUAACAGGGGGGKUUGGAGUUUGGACAUAGUAAGCAGCACAAACACAUAAAAGCACUGAUCGAGGACAACAAACCAGCAGCAGGAGCACCCGGGAACAGCACAUGAAACGAAAAUGAUGCAUAUGCAGACUCAGGGCAAAGGAGGUUGAGGGGUUAUCCAAACGAGAUUCUCUUUUCUCUAUCGAUUGCCAGUGUCGAGGCUGGGCAUGGUCACAGUUUACCAAAUCUUUCACCAAGGUAUAUGCAAGUUUUUCUCAUGGAUGCUUCCAAAAGACAGAUCAUUG
rnacentral:lncRNA from 1 species